AGCAUAUCAAUAAGCGGAGGAAAAGAAACUAACAAGGAUUCCCCUAGUAACUGCGAGUGAAGCGGGAAGAGCUCAAAUUUUAAAUCUGGCGGUUCUUGAUCGUCCGAGUUGUAAUCUAGAGAAGUGUUACCUGUGCUGGACCGUGUACAAGUCUCCUGGAAUGGAGCAUCAUAGAGGGUGAGAAUCCCGUCUUUGACAUGGACUACCAGUACAUUAUGGUGCACCCUCGAAGAGUCGAGUUGUUUGGGAAUGCAGCUCAAAAUGGGUGGUAAAUGCCAUCUAAAGCUAAAUAUUGGCGAGAGACCGAUAGCGAACAAGUACCGUGAGGGAAAGAUGAAAAGAACUUUGGAAAGAGAGUUAAACAGUACGUGAAAUUGCUGAAAGGGAAACGCUUGAAGUCAGUCACGUUGGCUGGAAAUCAGCCUUGCUUUUGCUUGGUGUACUUUCUGGUUUGACGGGUCAGCAUCAAUUUUGACCACUGGAUAAAGUCUCUGGGAAUGUGGCAUCUCUGGAUGUGUUAUAGCCCUAGGUCGCAUACAGUGGUUGGGAUUGAGGAACUCAGCACGCCGCAAGGCCAGGUUUCGACCAUGUUCGUGCUUAGGAUGCUGGCAUAAUGGCUUUAAUCGACCCGUCUUGAAACACGGACCAAGGAGUCUAACAUGCCUGCGAGUGUUUGGGUGGAAAACCCAUGCGCGUAAUGAAAGUGAAAGUUGAGAUCCCAUUCAGGGAGCAUUGACGCCCAGACCAGACCUUUUGUGACGGAUCUGCGGUAGAGCAUGUAUGUUGGGACCCGAAAGAUGGUGAACUAUGCCUGAAUAGGGUGAAGCCAGAGGAAACUCUGGUGGAGGCUCGUAGCGAUUCUGACGUGCAAAUCGAUCGUCAAAUUUGGGUAUAGGGGCGAAAGACUAAUCGAACCAUCUAGUAGCUGGUUCCU
rnacentral:rRNA from 1 species